CCUGUAUGUCAUUUUCAGUCUUCAAUUCCUCCCAGCCCGUACUAUGGUAAUUGUGAGUUGAGGCGAGUUGAAGACUAAAAAUGCUGUACAG
ensembl:miRNA